ACACGUAGGCACCAAGCGUUGUCCGGAUUUAUUGGGCGUAAAGAGCUCGUAGGCGGUUCGGUAAGUCGGGUGUGAAAACUCUGGGCUCAACCCAGAGACGCCACCCGAUACUGCUGUGACUCGAGUGCGGUAGGGGAGCGGGGAGUUCCUGGUGUAGCGGUGAAAUGCGCAGAUAUCAGGAGGAACACCAGUGGCGAAGGCGCCGCUCUGGGCCGUGACUGACGCUGAGGAGCGAAAGCGUGGGGAGCAAACAGGA
rnacentral:rRNA from 1 species